GUGAGGAAUAUUGGUCAAUGGGCGAGAGCCUGAACCAGCCAAGUCGCGUGAAGGAAGAAGGAUCUAUGGUUCGUAAACUUCUUUUGCAGGGGAAUAAAGUGCAGGACGUGUCCUGUUUUGUAUGUACCCUGAGAAUAAGGAUCGGCUAACUCCGUGCCAGCAGCCGCGGUAAUACGGAGGAUCCGAGCGUUAUCCGGAUUUAUUGGGUUUAAUGGGUGCGUAGGUGGUUUGAUAAGUCAGCGGUGAAAGUUUGCAGCUUAACUGUAAAAAUGCCGUUGAAACUGUCGGACUUGAGUGUAAAUGAGGUAGGCGGAAUGCGUGGUGUAGCGGUGAAAUGCAUAGAUAUCACGCAGAACUCCGAUUGCGAAGGCAGCUUACUAAGCUACAACUGACACUGAAGCACGAAAGCGUGGGGAUCAAACAGGAUUAGAUACCCGUGUAGUCC
rnacentral:rRNA from 1 species